rnacentral:lncRNA from 1 species
CCCCCCCCCCAGAAAACUCCCCCCCUCAAAACGUGGCGAUAUUCCUAGGAGUAUUGCCCCCGGGGGGCGAAUAUCCUAGGAAUAUCGCCUCCCAGGGGGUGGGGCGAAUACCCUAGAAAUAUCGCCCCUCUUUAGGACAUUCGCCCCCCAUAUAUGCGAUGUGGUUUAUUCAAAUAAUUUCGUGAUACUUUCAUCUUAUUAUUGCCUUACACGUUUGAGAAUUUAACUCACUACUAAAGCUUUUUUGUCUUUUCUUUGAAACGUAUUAUUGGAGUAUUGGCAAGUUUUACCAUUCAGAGAUUUACAAACUAAUAUUGAAACUGUAAAAAACAGUUUCAUGUAUACGCGCAUUCACUAAUGAGUAAUGACAACUUAAUUAUAAGCCAUACAUUUUCCGAUAACGACAGAACGCUUGUGUAGCC